CCAAACUUCACAAGUUGGGCCAAGUUGUGAAGCUAUGUACUCUUAACUACUAGUUUCGAGUUAAUUCAUGUGCCCAGUGGUGGCCUAAAUGUGGCUGAACUGAUGUCUCAUCUCUUGCUUUCUGAGACAUUCUUAUCUCUCAUCUUGGAGAGACUCCAUUGUAAUUUCUAUUCUUUAUCAGUUUCCUUUGCUGGCCCUCUCCCCCUGCUGGAUACCUCACCAUUGGUGGUACCCUGAGGCUAGCUGAAAGGCCUUGUGUGCCAGGCUAAGGCUACUGGACUUCGCUUUAUAAACCAAUAGGAGCCAUUGAUGAGAAGUAACACAAUCACACAUGUGCUUUAGUAUAAUGAUCAUAAGCCCAGCCUUCCAGCCACUCUCAUGAAGGUGU
rnacentral:lncRNA from 1 species